UAUAGGAGGUCAAGCCUGCCCAGUGACUAUUGGUUUAACGGCCGCGGUAUUCUGACCGUGCAAAGGUAGCGUAAUCACUCGUCCUUUAAAUAGGGUCAAGUAUGAAAGGCUAAACGAGGGCUUAACUGUCUCCCCCUCCCAGUCAGUGAAAUUGAUCUGUCCGUGCAGAAGCGGGCAUAAUUAUACAAGACGAGAAGACCCUUUGGAGCUUUAGGUACAGAACUUAACCAUGCUAAACAAGUUAAUAAAAACACUAACCCCUAAUGGAAUUAAGACUUUACCUUCGGUUGGGGCGACCAUGGAGCAAAAAUCAACCUCCAAGUGGAAUGGGGAUACCCCAAAACUAAGAGAACCAUCUCUAAGCCGCAGAAAUUCUGACCAAUAAUGAUCCGGCCAUAUGACCGAUAAACGAACCAAGUUACCCUAGGGAUAACAGCGCAAUCCUCUCCCAGAGCCCAUAUCGACGAGGGGGUUUACGACCUCGAUGUUGGAUCAGGACAUCCUAAUGGUGCAGCCGCUAUUAAG
rnacentral:rRNA from 1 species